AAAAUUCUAGAUGAUAAAGAUUUGAUCAAGAAAUAUUCUCCUAAUGAAUCUGAUACCUCCCGUGACCAUCACUUUACCAAUUCUGAAGAAUCAUAUGCUGAGAAGGAUUACAAGGAAUCCACCAAAGACAGUGACAUGUUAACUUCUUUGAAGAUGUAUACAAAG